GACGAACGCUGGCGGCGUGCUUUACACAUGCAAGUCGAACGGAAAGGCCCUGCUUUUGUGGGGUGCUCGAGUGGCGAACGGGUGAGUAACACGUGAGUAACCUGCCCUUGACUUUGGGAUAACUUCAGGAAACUGGGGCUAAUACCGGAUAGGAGCUCCUGCUGCAUGGUGGGGGUUGGAAAGUUUCGGCGGUUGGGGAUGGACUCGCGGCUUAUCAGCUUGUUGGUGGGGUAGUGGCUUACCAAGGCUUUGACGGGUAGCCGGCCUGAGAGGGUGACCGGCCACAUUGGGACUGAGAUACGGCCCAGACUCCUACGGGAGGCAGCAGUGGGGAAUAUUGCACAAUGGGCGGAAGCCUGAUGCAGCAACGCCGCGUGCGGGAUGACGGCCUUCGGGUUGUAAACCGCUUUCGCCUGUGACGAAGCGUGAGUGACGGUAAUGGGUAAAGAAGCACCGGCUAACUACGU
rnacentral:rRNA from 1 species